CGGUUGACCUCGGAUCAGGUAGGGAUACCCGCUGAACUUAAG
rnacentral:rRNA from 1 species